rnacentral:rRNA from 1 species
CUAUGCGCCUUGCCAGCCCGCUCAGGUGUGCCAGCAGCGCGGUAAUACGGAGGAUGCGAGCGUUAUCCGGAUUUAUUGGGUUUAAAGGUGCGUAGGUGGUUAAUUAAGUCAGCGGUGAAAGUUUGUGGCUCAACCAUAAAAUUGCCGUUGAAACUGGUUGACUUGAGUAUAUUUGAGGUAGGCGGAAUGCGUGGUGUAGCGGUGAAAUGCAUAGAUAUCACGCAGAACUCCGAUUGCGAAGGCAGCUUACUAAACUAUAACUGACACUGAAGCACGAAAGCGUGGGGAUCAAACAGG